UCCGGUGAUAAUGGCGGAAAGGUCACACCCGUUCCCAUCCCGAACACGGAAGUUAAGCUUUCCAGCGCCGAUGGUAGUUGGGGGUUUCCCCCUGCGAGAGUAGGACGUUGCCGGGC
rfam:Bacillus coagulans 36D1, complete genome.